rnacentral:tRNA from 1 species
GCUGUGGCUCAGUGGAAGAGUUUCCGCUUUGCAUGAGAAAGGUUCCAGGUUCAGUCCCCGGCAUCUCCA